UGCGAUUUUACUUCAGAGAAUCACUUCUAAAGGAAAAAUCCCAUCUCUGUGUUCCCUACAGGAGCCACAGAUCCCACCCUGGUUGAUGACCGAAAAUCCCCGCUGCCUCAGAGUGAAACUUUCUUACUUCCGGGAGCUAGCCGCCUCUGGUGCGCUACGCCCCCGUACUCUCGCUCUGUCCGCAAGGAUGGCGGUCAUUUUGUCCCUUCUGGCAACAGAAAUGCGACUGGCUGUAUAGAGAGUGUUUGAUGAUCUCGAUCCUGGUUUCUGUGUCUGCCUUUUGUGGCGCGCGGGCCAGGGUAGGCUUCGUGGGACGUCUGACAGGC
rnacentral:snoRNA from 1 species